UACGUAGGGUGCAAGCGUUAAUCGGAAUUACUGGGCGUAAAGCGUGCGCAGGCGGUUUUGUAAGUCUGUCGUGAAAUCCCCGGGCUCAACCUGGGAAUUGCGAUGGAGACUGCAAGGCUAGAAUCUGGCAGAGGGGAGUAGAAUUCCACGUGUAGCAGUGAAAUGCGUAGAGAUGUGGAGGAACACCGAUGGCGAAGGCAGCCCCCUGGGUCAAGAUUGACGCUCAUGCACGAAAGCGUGGGGGAGCAAACAGGG
rnacentral:rRNA from 1 species